rnacentral:lncRNA from 10 species
GAACGCUGAGCUGCUCUUCUCUUUGAAUUCCAAAGAGACAUCUAAAGGAAGCCCUCAGCUCUGAAGACCACCUAGCUGGAAUCUCAGAGGGAGAGCUGGGGACAGGAAAGGAUGACUACUCCCACCAUUCUGUGGACACCGAGUCCAGCCUCCGGGAGGACGCUGAGGGAACCUUUUGGGACAGCCAGGGCAGAGAACGCCUUUUACUUCUUAAGGCUCUGGAUCAAAACAGAGAAGCUUCUGUUUUGGAGCCUGGCAAUCCUCGAACAUCAGUGUGCAUUUUAAGCCAUAAAGCGCAAUACUGAUUACAAACAGGAAUACGGAGGGCUUCCUUUAAACUGCUUCAGAAAACAAACUCCUCGGGGACUUCGAAAGGAGCUCUCACCAUAGCUCCUGCAAUCCACUCUGAACAGGAAACCUUCUCAUCUAUUUAUUAAAACUGACCCCAGAAAGAUUUUCAACAGGGAAGCCUGGCUUUAUGUUGUGUAUAGCCACAAAGAAGAACAUAUAUUUUUAAAACACAUUGCCUGGGGAAGGCUCUCGCUCUGUCAGUGGUUCUUGAAUUCUGCAAGACAGCUGUUUCCUUCCUUUCAGUCUGAAUCAGAGAGGUUUGCAGCAAAAGCCAUUUUGGAGAGACCAGGUCAAGUUCAGCCUUCUCAGAUCCAAUUUUGCCACUACCAUGACCCACAGGAGAAAUUCCUCCCAGCUUGGGACUGUGCUAUCUCGGAUGACGUGACAGCGACAAGCCAUUUAGAGUGUGACUUGGGGCUUUUCAGAAGCGCAGAUGCACGGGAGGUCUGCAUUCAGGUAGUGACAGGUCACAAGGACAGCCGUGGAGGCUCCAAAAUUGGCCUGGGAAUUGGGAUUCAGUUCCACAGGAUGGGGCGGGGCCUGAGUCUCUGCAUUUCUGACAGGCUCUGAGGGGCUGCUGCAGCUGCUGGUCUCAGCCGGUUUUGCACUAGCGAAGCUCUCGACCCAGGCCGCCCACAGGAAACAGAAUGCCAGCCAGAUACAGGAUUUUAAAUGGUCCAGUAGCCUCAUUUAAAAAGUAAAAAGAGGCCAGGUGCCAUGGCUCACACCUGUAAUCCAGCACUUUGGGAGGCCAACUAGAGGAUCGCUUGAAGCCAGGAGUUUGAGAACAGCCUGGACAACGUAGUGAGACCCCUAUCUCUACAAAAAAUGUAAAAGCCAGGCAUGGUGGCACCUGUCUGUGGUCCCAGCUCCUCAGGAGGCUGAGGCAGGAGGAUCGCUUGAACCCAGGAGUUUGAGGCUGCCAUGAGCCAUGAUCACACCACUGGACUCUAGCCUGGGCGACAGAGCCAGACCCUGUCUCUAAAACA